UGGGGAAUAUUGCACAAUGGGCGCAAGCCUGAUGCAGCCAUGCCGCGUGUGUGAAGAAGGCCUUCGGGUUGUAAAGCACUUUCAGCGAGGAGGAAGGUGGUGAACUUAAUACGUUCAUCAAUUGACGUUACUCGCAGAAGAAGCACCGGCUAACUCCGUGCCAGCAGCCGCGGUAAUACGGAGGGUGCAAGCGUUAAUCGGAAUUACUGGGCGUAAAGCGCACGCAGGCGGUUUGUUAAGUCAGAUGUGAAAUCCCCGGGCUCAACCUGGGAACUGCAUUUGAAACUGGCAAGCUAGAGUCUCGUAGAGGGGGGUAGAAUUCCAGGUGUAGCGGUGAAAUGCGUAGAGAUCUGGAGGAAUACCGGUGGCGAAGGCGGCCCCCCUGGACGAAGACUGACGCUCAGGUGCGAAAGGCGUGGGGAGCAAAACAGGAUUAGAUACCCCUGGUAGUCCACGCUGUAAACGAUGUCGAUUUGGAGGUUGUGCCCUUGAGGCGUGGCUUCCGGAGCUAACGNGUUAAAUCGACCGCC
rnacentral:rRNA from 1 species